UGCAUUUCAUACUGGGUCGCUAGAGUACUUUAGGGAGGGGUAGAAUUCCACGUGUAGCGGUGAAAUGCGUAGAGAUGUGGAGGAAUACCGAAGGCGAAGGCAGCCCCUUGGGAAUGUACUGACGCUCAUGUGCGAAAGCGUGGGGAGCAAACAGGAUUAGAUACCCUGGUAGUCCACGCUGUAAACGAUGUCGAUUUGGGGGUUGAGCUUUAAGUUUGGCGCCCGUAGCUAACGUGAUAAAUCGACCGCCUGGGGAGUACGGCCGCAAGGUUAAAACUCAAAUGAAUUGACGGGGGCCCGCACAAGCGGUGGAGCAUGUGGUUUAAUUCGAUGCAACGCGAAGAACCUUACCUACUCUUGACAUCCAGA
rnacentral:rRNA from 1 species